CAGAGAGUAGUUUUAUUAAAAUAUUUAUUUUGGAGAUUAAAGUUAAAAGACUCUUUUCUCUCUGA
rnacentral:tRNA from 1 species